rnacentral:rRNA from 1 species
GAUGAACGCUGGCGGCGUGCCUAACACAUGCAAGUCGAGCGGACGGACGCUGCUUUUGCUUGGCUGAUGCGAGGGGCGGGCGUGUGAGGCACAUGAGUAUACCUCACCUUUGGGAAUGAGAUAAGCAAGGGAAACCGGAUCUAACAACGGACGAGAUCUUGAAGCUGGGGGUUCGAAAGACAAAGCCGGCUUUGAUGGACCCGGGCGGGAUUUGCUAGCUGGUUGGGUAAGGGCUUACUAAGGCGGCGUUCCGUGGCCGGACUGCGUGGGUGAUCUGCCACACUGGAACUGAGACGCGGUCCAGGCUCCUACGGGAGGCCGCAGUAGGGAAGAGUAGGCAAUGGGCGAAAGCCUGACCCAGCGACGCCGCGUGUGUGAAGAAAGUCUUCGGAUCGUAAAGCUCUUUUAUUGGGGAGAAACAGCUGUAGAAGUAACCGUGCCUUUUUUGACGGUACCUGCUCAAGAAGCACCGGCUAACUACGUG